CUUAUUUUUGCCUCGUUUAGAACCUGCGAAAGAGGCUGAGGAGGAGGUUGUGGCCGACGUGGAGAUGCCCGAGGGACCAGUGCCAGUGGAACAGCCAGCAACAGAAGCCGAAGGUGCCAUUCCCUUGGAACCUGUUGAGCCAACACCUGAACAAACUGAAGACGGCCAACACACUGAACUUUGAUGGAUCACAAACACCGCACUCUAAUUUAAUGGACUCGUCACUCACCUCACUGUCUACGGCUCGUUGGCAGCCUAGACAAAACGGUUGAGAGGUUCCUUUUUUUUUCUCCUCCCUUGUGGAAGUUGUUUUGUACAUAUAUAGCCGGAGUUAUUUAAUGACAACGGGGUGUAAGGUUAGCCGUGUGCUCAUUGAAAAGUGCAGCAGCAGGAGAAUGUUUCCAUGAAACAGU
rnacentral:lncRNA from 1 species